CUGGUUGAUCCUGCCAGACCUGACUGCUAUCGGAUUGGUACUAAGCCAUGCGAGUCAUUGUAGCAAUACAAGGCGGACGGCUCAGUAACACGUAGUCAACCUAACUCGUGGACGUGGAUAACCUCGGGAAACUGAGAAUAAACCACGAUAGAUCAUAGUGCCUGGAAUGGCUUAUGGUCCAAACAGUUUACUGCCAUGGGAUGGGACUGCGGCCUAUCAGCUUGUUGGUGAGGUAAUGGCCCACCAAGGCGAUUACAGGUACGGGCUCUGAGAGGAGAAGCCCGGAGAUGGGUACUGAGACACGGACCCAGGCCCUAUGGGGCGCAGCAGGCGAGAAACCUUAGCAAUGUGCGAAAGCACGACUGGGUCAGUCCGAGUGAUUCCUGAUAAAGGAGUCUUUUGCUUGUCCUAAAAGCACAGGUGAAUAAGGGGUGGGCAAGUCUGGUGUCAGCCGCCGCGGUAAUACCAGCACCUCGAGUGGUCAGGACGUUUAUUGGGCCUAAAGCAUCCGUAGCCGGCUUUGCAAGUCUUCGGUUAAAUCCACCUGCUCAACAGAUGGGCCGCUGGAGAUACUACAGAGCUAGGGAGUGGGAGAGGCAGACGGUAUUCAGUGGGUAGGGGUAAAAUCCUCUGAUCCAUUGAGGACCACCAGUGGCGAAUGCGGUCUGCCAGAACACGUUCGACGGUGAGGGAUGAAAGCU
rnacentral:rRNA from 1 species